rnacentral:rRNA from 1 species
UACGGAGGGAGCGAGCGUUGUCCGAAGUUACUGGGCGUAAAGCGCGCGUAGGCGGGAAAUUAAGUGAGAAGUGAAAGGCUGGGGCUUAACCCCAUGCAGUGCUCCUCAUACUGGUUUUCUUGAGGGUGGUAGAGAGAAGUGGAAUGGCUGGUGUAGCGGUGAGAUGCGUAGAUAUCAGUCGGAACACCAGUGGCGAAGGCGGCUUCUUGGGCCAUUACUGACGCUGAGGCGCGAAAGCCAGGGGAGCGAACGGG